UUAGAUGUGAGGUUGGGGCACUGGAGAAAAGCGGAAGGAAUGAGAAAGGCCUAUUCUGCUUUUCUGCCCUCGUGGGUGGGUGUACCCUUGCCCAGAAGUCGGCGAACAGGUGAAAACUGCCUUCAAAUCAUGCCUCCGUCUUGAAGAACCACGCAGAACCACGCGUAAGCCCUUCCCCUCAAUGUCUGCCUGCUCUCCAAAGAUCCUGAAGGAGCAGGUUAUGCUUUCCAGGCUGUUGCCUGGAGCCCCUAAGACUGAAAUAUCAGUGAGAGCACAGGGGUGUGGCGUGAAUCAGAUAACCGGACCUGCAGGAGAGGAGAGAGAAUCAGCUCCACAUCUGGAGUCCAAAGGUCUCUUCUCUACUCAGCCCCUAAUACAGCCCCCCUCUCUGGGUCCAGUCUCUUCAUCUGAAUAAACACUAAGGUAACACGUG